GCCUGCGGGUGGGGCAUGGACCGUCUUUCCGACAAACGGUGCUGGGAAACCAGGUGUCUACGUGCGGGAGAAGGAAGCCGCACGCUGACCUCAUGCCGUAUACAAGUGCUAGCCCCAUACGGACCGAGGACCAAAAUGUAAGACCCAGAAAACCACGGAAGGGGAGCCCCAAGGCAUUGGGUGCGGCAGAGGUCCCCGGGUGUGACCCAGAGGCACAAGGUGACAGAAGGAAAAAACAGACAAAAGGGACCUCACGCGAGUCUUAGGAUUCCGCACGACCGGACGCUCCGUGGGGGGCUCAGGCGGCUCGCGAGGCUGGUGGUCGGGAGGCGCACAGCGCUCGUCCUUCUGCGUCCGCGUCUCCCACCGUGCGCAGCGCCCUCCGGGCCCGCGCGGUGUAGCGGGGGUCAGGGUGUCCUUCCGGGAGUGGAGCUCCGUCUGGGUAGACGGCCGUCCGUCUGUCUGCUCCCCUGCAGACAGACCUCUGGGCUUCUGGGAACCGAGCUGCAGGGAGCACGGCUGGGCUUCUCGUUCACUCGGGCCCGUGCCAGGAGGUGCGAUCCCCGCUCUCACGGCAGUCCUAACUUUCUGGGGGGACCUCCCCCAUCUGUGUGAGCGCGACUGGCUCACGGUCCCACCAGCCGCGCUCCUGGUUCCCCCGCACCCUCACGGCAGUCGCCGUUUGCCGCUCUGUCGCCGGCGGCCCUGCGAGCAGGUGUGCUGCGGGCUCUUGGAGGGCGAGUGCAGUGGGCUCUCGGGGGCUCCCACCCCUCUCGCAGGGCUCGCCUCGUGCGCAGUAGGUGCCCAGGGCCUGUCGGACUCUCCUGAGCCCGCGGACUCGGCCCUGCCUCUGGGGCAGUGAGACAAAGCCCUCAGGAGACACUGGAGCUCGGAGUCCGGGCAGCAGAGCCAAAACAGGGCCUUGGCCGGGCCGGGCUGCUGGGGGAGCCUGUGGGCAUCUGGGGCAUGGAGGGUAUCAGGACCAGCUAACACCCGAGCUUAGCUCACUUACAGGAUGGCGUGAUCUCAGAACCUACUGGCCAGUGGCCACGGAGGCCAGGCCGGGGAGGGGCCUGGAAGGGGCCUCUGUCUCCCCGGGCCCCAAGCUGAGCUCCACGCUCCCAGAGGCCUUUGCUCCCUCUGCCCCCACCCAGCCACAGCCUCGGCGCCCAGGGCGGCAGCAGACACCCGAGACGAAAGCCAUGGCUGGGCCCUCCGCCCCCGGAGUGAGGUCUUGUCUGAGGGACAGAAAGGCCUUCUCCGUCCUCCUCCCGUGGGCUCUUCGCAGCCCGCUGGCUGUCCCCGACGCGGUGUCAUCCGGGGUCCGGCCCGGCCUCCCUGGGGUGCCCGCCGUGGACUCCCCGGCCCGGGGUCUGCCCUGGCCCUCCCUGUUCCCUCCCUCUCCCCUAGCUUUGCUUUCCCCAAAGCAGAGGCUGAUGGUAAGCCGGGAUUUGGGGUGUGCAUGCCGGGGGGCACUAGAGAAAGGCUGCAUUUCUGAGACCCUCACUCAGGGACCCUGCUCCCAGGGAGGAGGGCGGGGCUCGGCUGUCCCAGGAGCAGGGGGCUCCGGAGGGCUGCGCGGGCCACCCGAUGGGCUGGACCUGUCCCAGGCGAAGCCUCAGCCAUGGUGAGCGCCCCAGGACUAGUCCAGCUCCUGCCCGGUGCACCCUCCGGCCCCAGCCUCCGACCCCCCCCACACCCUCCCCUCAUCCUUUGUGGAAACGGAGCGGCUGCCCGGCGAGGACAAGAGGCUCGAACCGCACGCACAGCCGGCUCCUGCGGACGAGCGCAGAGCCCAGGGCAGCGGAAUUCUGAUGUCCCCCUGACCCCCAGCCCGGGCCCAGCAGGGGCGGCUGCAGGGUCUGCGUCUCUCCCGCGGGACAAGGGGCCCGAUGGGCCUGGAGGUGGGCCGGCCUCCCGCGCCCCGUGCUGCCUCCUCUGCUCUGGUGAAGAAGCGCAGGCGGCCCCGCGGUGCGGCCGAGCGCCGCAUCAUUCCCGGUGGCUCACAGGGACGCGGCGCUGCUCACCUGGGACUGGCCUGGGGACAGCCCCGUCGGCAGCCGCGGCAGGGAAAGGCCCCGUGGCUCCGGCCCGCGCCGCCCGAGCUGAGGGGCCGCCGCGCCUGGACACCGGCACUUCCGGCCGCACCUGAAAAAGACACAGUGUCUGAGCGCAAAGGGAAAGCCUUCGGGAAACGGAAGGGAAAGGGGUUGGCAGAAGCGCCCCGGGAACGCGGGGGGCACCGGCCGGGACCUUCCCGUCGUCCCUGCGCUCUGCGAAGGGCACGUUGACGCGAACGGCCGCGCCGCGAGCGAGCCCGACCUUCCGAGCGUUCCUUUUUCCUCCUUCCGCCUCUCCCUUCCUUCCUCUGUUCUCUUCUGAGUCGGCUCCCAACUUGGGAACAGCUCCAGAUCGACAGAAGGGCCCAGAGACCGCGCAGAGCCCCCCCACCCUCCCCGUGCCGUCCUCGCGCGGCCCAAAGCAGGAGCGAGCCUGGCUCGCGGUCGGUAGCCGGAGUCCACUCUGCUCAGGAGUCCCUGGUUUUCUUGUCACACCCUCUCUCCGCCCCGUCGUCACGUCUCCCAGGCUCCUCGGGGCCGAGCCGUCUCUCACGUCCCUGGUUUUGGGGGGCCCGGCAAUUCUUGGCGGGGGGGGGGGGGUUCUGGGGCCAUCCCUCCGUCGGGAUCGUGUGAGGACGGGCGACGGGUUUGGGAAGGAAGAGCAGAGCUGAAGGGCCUUCUCCUCGCCUCACGUCAGGGGUCUCUGUUCUCAGCGGGACCCGUCACCGAGGACGGGGCCUUGACCCCGGGCUGCGGUGUGUUCAUUCUCCCCAGUGCGAGUACUGUUCUCUCUGGAAGGACGUCACGCCGUGGAGCCCACACCCCGGGGUUGGGGGGGUCAUGCCCCACUUACACUUCACCUUCUUGGGUCGGGGGCCUCGACAUGAAUCCCUUUCCCCCUGCGCGUGAGACCUGUGUGCUCCCCACUCACUCAUUCGCUGGCGCGUCUACGUCGGCGGGUGCCUCAGUGUCCGCGGGUGCGCCGGGUCGUUUCCCGCUGCUGCCUCACUUACUCCGUCGUUUCAGCUGCCCCAUCGUUGGCCCCUGGGAGCCCAUCCGGAGGGAGGGCUCGGGUGCGGAUUACUUCCCUGGCGCCACGCGGAGCGUAGGUUCCCUGCCUCGGGCCCAAGUCAGCUGCGUCCCUGUGUCUUCCUGUUCUUGGAGGAGGGUAUUAGAGACCAAAGUCUGGGGGCUGGGUGUGCUCAUUGCUACUGGGAUGUCCUCACCAGCAGGCCCUCUCUGGUGACAGGGUGAGGAGGUGAAUGUGUGCACGUGACCCUGCACACGCACACG